ensembl:lncRNA
GAUCUUUUCCUUAAAGCUUUCAGGAAGCUCAAGUGGCCCCAGAAGAUCUGUGCUAAUGAUUGCUGCUCGGCCUGUAAGAUUGCAAAGAUCCAAGGCCUUGCAGGGGGCUGGACAGGCUGGACAGGCCUGGCCACCACUGCCCAUUCCCCCGGCGCCCAUUCUCGUGCCUGGAUGCCCUUGGCCUGUGAUAUUCCUAAGGACAUCGAUCUUGCUAGGAAGCACCUUAGGCCCCCUCUUCUGGAGCAUGUUCCCUUGGUUUUCAGCUUGCAGAGUGAAAGGGAAGGAGACACAGAAGGGCAGGGUAACCUUUUCCAUCCCAGCCUUUGGUAACCUUACCCACCCCCGAGCCUCAGAAACCCAGCUGGCUCCUUGCUCCGGCUGAGUCCAUGGGGCAUGGUCCUCUUUGCUGCUGGCCUAUGGCAUGCCCCUGGGGACAGCCUGCUGUCCCCCCCGCCCCAUGAUUCCAGGGAGACCAAAGGCAGCCACCAGAGUUGAACUCUUCUCCAGCUCUCCUUUCCUGCGCCCUUUGCCCCAGUUUUCCCAAUAGCUCAGCGGCCAACUGUAAAAUUAAAAACAGAAGGAGGAAAAGUAUUUGAAGCCCUGCAGAGUGACGAGAGGCCUCUCUUCCAUUCUCUGUCACGCUUUAUUUUUCCAACUGGCUCAAUUCUAUAUUCUUCAAGUUCAACUCAGCGUAUCCACUUGCCACAGCAGUCGUAUUGCUUCACCCAUACAGUUGCCAUGAGCUCAUGCAGGUCUUGAGUUUUUUUUUCCCCCACAUCUUGGGGUUUUGAUUCAGGGUUUGAAGAGAAAACAAAACAGGACAGCCAGGCUUGACCAAUCCAUUUCACCCGGACAAUACACGGAACAGAGGUUUUCUACCUCCAACACGUAAGUCAGCCUGGAGCCACUCUGCCCAACUGUAGUCCCUGUCCUCUAAGUUCUUGGGGUAGAGCUGCCGAUGACACAGUGGGUGGGGACUUAGUGGUGCCCAAGGGGCUGCGGCGAGGGCAGGGGAGAAGCACGAUGAGGGCAGGGCUGCCCAGCGCCUGAAGCCUGGCUGACCACCCUUCCCCCUCCCAACCUUUUUCUGCACCACCCCCAGCCCCCCUGGGUCCUGUCAAUACUGCCGAGCUGCCACCAGGGGGAGCCAAGCAGAGGCUGGAGGGAAGGGACCCCUGGGGAAACCAGCUGGAGGCUCUAAGCGCCUGUCGGUCCUCCGGGUGCCCUCUUCCCCUUUAGGCUCCCAGCCGCCAGGGUGACCACACGGUGCCCAAUUCCCAUUCAUUCAGCAGCCAGGAAAGUGCACGCAGUAGGAGCGCGCUCUAAGCGCUGUGCUAGAUGCCGGCAACACAGAAACAAUGCCACUAGGUUCUCCACCCCAGGCGCUCUCUCCCGCCUAGAGGGCCAAACAGGACAUUACAACUUUGUGGGAUGGGAAGCAAGAUAAGGGAAGAGCAAAGUGUUUAGACUAAGAUGCCUAUUGUCCCAGGGUAGUUAUUAAUAGCACCCAAGUUACACAUUGCCCUGGUUUGGAUAAUUGAGGAUCCUAUCAUAUGUUACCCUACGUGUAACAUAUACUAAGGAGUGUGAAUUUAUCCUAGCAGCAGAGAGGAGCAACCGAAGGCUUUAAGCAGGGUACUGACAGGAUCAGAUCCACACAAUUAAAAUAGACUGGUAGUAUGUGAAGAGUGGACCUGGGCUGGGGGAUCAAUUUCGGAGCCAUGCAGUUGUCCAAUGGAAAGAUGAGGGCAGCCCAGGUGAGAGAAGAGCUGGUAGAGAGAACCCCAAUUUGCAAAAUUUGGCCAGGAAAUAUAUUCUGCAAUGUAUUUGCAGAACUUAGUGAUAUUUUUAUUUUUUAUUUUUUGGUUUUUUUUUGGGGGGGAAGGCACCCAUGGCAUAUGGAAGUUCCCAGACUAGGGGUUGAAUUGGAGCUGCAGCUGCCAGCCUACACCACAGCCAGAGCAACUCAGGAUCUGAGCCACGGCUGCAAGCUACACCACAGCUCACGGCAACACCAGAUCCUAACCCACUGAGCGAGGCCAGGGAUUGAAUCCGAAUACGCAUGGAUACUAGUUGGGGUCUUAACCCACUGAGCCACAGCGGGAACUCCCAUGAACUUGAUGAUGUUUUGAUGCACGGAUUGAGGGAGAAGGAGGGUGUCCAGGACAACUUACAUUUUUUUGGCCUGAGUGCCUGUGGAUGCUGGUACUGAGGAGGAUAGGGCAGGCCACUGAAUUUCAGCUGAGGAACUGCCAAGUUUAAGGUGCCCGGAGGACCUCACCAGGAGGACCCAACAGGCAGCCAGUGCUGCCAGCAGAGAGGUUGCGGUCACCAAUACAUUUUUGCCCAAAUGCCCUCCGCAGACAGUCAUGAAUCCACGGGACUGUAAACCAGGCUAGCCUUAAGCAUCCUAGGUGUUUGAAUCCAAAGAAUAAGGAAAAGUAUGUGUGUAGGGGUUAUGGGAUGGGAGGAAAGCUAGGGAACAAUGAAGGUAAAGAGUUUUAAAUGCACAAGAUAAAAAUCUGGAUUAUAGGUUAUCUAAAGGAAAAUGAUAAAUAGAAGCCAACAAAGAAGGCUCUAAAAGAAAGACCUACGGAUAUUUGAAAAAUUAUAGGAGUUCCCUGAUGGUGCAGCAGGUUAAGGACCCAGCGUUGUCACUGCUGUGGCUUGGGUCAUAGCUGUGGCACAAUUUUGAUCUCUGGCCCUGGAAGUUCCCCAUGCUGUGGGCACGGCCAAAAAGAAAAAAAA